UACGGGGGGGGCAAGCGUUGUUCGGAAUUACUGGGCGUAAAGGGUUCGUAGGUGGCCAACUAAGUCAGACGUGAAAUCCCUCAGCUUAACUGGGGAACUGCGUCUGAGACUGGAUGGCUUGAGUGCAGGAGAGGAACGCGGAAUUCCAGGUGUAGCGGUGAAAUGCGUAGAUAUCGGGAAGAACAUCGGUGGCGAAGGCGGCCAGCUGGGCCAUUGCUGACGCUGAGGCGCGACAGCGUGGGGAGCAAACAGG
rnacentral:rRNA from 1 species